rnacentral:rRNA from 1 species
UUGGUGAACCAGCGGAGGGAUCAUUACCGAGUUUACAACUCCCAAACCCCAUGUGAACAUACCUGUUUCGUUCCCUCGGCGGUGUCCGGCAACGGCCCGCCAGAGGACCCAACAAACUCUUUUGAAUUUUUCAGUAUCUUCUGAGUGAAAAAAACAAUAAAUCAAAACUUUCAACAACGGAUCUCUUGGUUCUGGCAUCGAUGAAGAACGCAGCGAAAUGCGAUAAGUAAUGUGAAUUGCAGAAUUCAGUGAAUCAUCGAAUCUUUGAACGCACAUUGCGCCCGCCAGUAUUCUGGCGGGCAUGCCUGUUCGAGCGUCAUUUCAACCCUCAAGCACCUUCGGGAGCUUGGUGUUGGGGAUCGGCAGGGCGUCCUUCGGGUCGCGCCGUCCCCCAAAUUUAGUGGCGGUCUCGCUGUAGCUUCCUCUGCGUAGUAAUACACCUCGCUCUGGAGUCUCGGUGCGACCACGCCGUAAAACCCCCAACUUUUUCUGGUUGACCUCGAAUCAGGUAGGACUACCCGCUGAACUUAA